rnacentral:rRNA from 1 species
UACGGAGGGUGCAAACGUUGCUCGGAAUCAUUGGGCGUAAAGCGCACGUAGGCGGCCUGUUAAGUCGGGUGUGAAGGCCCUGGGCUCAACCCAGGAAGUGCAUUCGAAACUGGCGGGCUUGAAUAUGGAAGAGGGUCGCGGAAUUCCCGGUGUAGAGGUGAAAUUCGUAGAUAUCGGGAGGAACACCAGUGGCGAAGGCGGCGACCUGGGCCAAUAUUGACGCUGAGGUGCGAAAGCGUGGGGAGCAAACAGG